CCUACGGGGGGCAGCAGUAGGGAAUAUUGCUCAAUGGGGGAAACCUUGAAGCAGCAACGCCGCGUGGAGGAUGAAGGUUUUCGGAUUGUAAACUCCUUUUGUUAGAGAAGAUAAUGACGGUAUCUAACGAAUAAGCACCGGCUAACUCCGUGCCAGCAGCCGCCGUAAUACGGAGGGUGCAAGCGUUACUCGGAAUCACUGGGCGUAAAGAGCUCGUAGGCGGGAUAGCAAGUCAGAUGUGAAAUCCUAUGGCUUAACCAUAGAACUGCAUUUGAAACUGGUAUUCUAGAGUAUGGGAGAGGUAGGUGGAAUUCUUGGUGUAGGGGUAAAAUGCGUAGAGAUCAAGAGGAAUACUCAUUGCGAAGGCGACCUGCUAGAACAUAACUGACGCUGAUGCGCGAAAGCGUGGGGAGCAAACAGGAUUAGAUACCCCAGUAGUC
rnacentral:rRNA from 1 species